rnacentral:rRNA from 1 species
UACGUAGGGUGCGAGCGUUGUCCGGAAUUAUUGGGCGUAAAGGGCUCGUAGGCGGUCUGUCGCGUCGGGAGUGAAAACUCAGGGCUUAACCCUGAGCCUGCUUCCGAUACGGGCAGACUAGAGGUAUGCAGGGGAGAACGGAAUUCCUGGUGUAGCGGUGGAAUGCGCAGAUAUCAGGAGGAACACCGGUGGCGAAGGCGGAUCUCUGGGCCAGCACUGACACUGAGGAGCGAAAGCGUGGGUAGCAAACAGG